rnacentral:tRNA from 1 species
GGGGCUGUAGCUCAGCUGGGAGAGCACUUCGUUCGCAACGAAGGGGUCGUCGGUUCGAAUCCGAUCAGCUCCA